rnacentral:misc_RNA from 1 species
AUUUUUUUAAAAAAUUAUUGGAGUCUUUCCCUUUAGAGUUUGCUUUUGAGUUUGUAAAAGAAUUCGAAAACAUCUAAAGGGGAUGGUCAAUAAUUUUUUUGAAAAAAGACAUUUUUUAAAAUUAAACUUUUUGUAUUCAUUUGUCUAAAAAUUAUUUUUUAUAAUAUAAAAACAACUUUUGACAAUGGAUCUCUUGGUUCUCGCAACGAUGAAGAACGCAGCAAAAUGCGAUAAGUAGUGUGAAUUGCAGAAUACGUGAAUCAUCGAAUCUUUGAACGCAUAUUGCACUUUUUUAGUUUACUAAAAAAGUAUGUCUGUUUGAGUAUCAGUAAAAUAUUCUCAUAAAAAUCAUUGUAUUUUUAUGGUUAUGAGUGUUUUACAACGAUACAAGUUGUUUCACUUUAAAUUUUUUUUUAAUAUUGAAAUUUUUCUAAUUUUAAUAAUUAAAAUUGGAUAAAAUUUUCCCGUCAAAAGGAAUAACCUAAACAAUUUUAAAUGAUUAAUUUUAGCAAAAUUUUCGAAAAAAGGAAAAUUUUUAUUAAAAUAACUUGAUCUCAAAUCAGAUAAGAGUACCCGCUGAACUUAAGCAUAUCAAUAAGCGGAGGAAAAGAAACUAACAAGGAUUCCCUUAGUAACGGCGAGUGAAGCGGGAAGAGCUCAAAUUUGAAAUCUUCAAGGUUUUACCUUGACGAAUUGUAGUUUAAAGAAGUGUUUUCUGCUGAAGUUUUGGUAAAAGUUCUUUGGAAUAGGACAUCAUAGAGGGUGAGAAUCCCGUAUUUGACCAUUAUUUUCAGCUUUGUGAUACACUUUCAAAGAGUCGGAUUGUUUGGGAAUGCAGUCCAAAAUGGGUGGUAAAUUUCAUCUAAAGCUAAAUAUUGGCGAGAGACCGAUAGCGAACAAGCACCGUGAGGGAAAGAUGAAAAGAACUUUGAAAGAGAGUUAAACAGUACGUGAAAUUGUCAAAAGGGAGCGUUUGACACCAGUGUUGUUUUCUCGAAAAUCAAUUAAAAAUGGCUCGAUUUUGUAUUGCUGAGACCUUAAAAGCUCACUGUACAUUUUUCGUGUCUUUUUUAAUGCACUUUUCGUUUAACAAGUCAACAUCAGUUUCUUUUGUUGUAAAAGGGUCAUUGGAAGGUGGCUUUCUUUUCGGAGAAAGUGUUUAUAGCCUUUGGCCUCUGCAAUCGGAGAGACUGAGGUCUGCAGCGUAGACUCUUCGGGGUUAGAUACAUUUGUGCUAAGUUAUAGCUUUUUAUAGACAACUUGUUGACUAUAAUUAGUCUUGUAGCUUACUCGCUUAUGCUAUUUUACCUACGCUUAGGAUG